AGCUCCAAUAGCGUAUAUUAAAGUUGUUGCAGUUAAAAAGCUCGUAGUUGGAUUUCGGAGUGGGCCAGUUGGUCCGCCGCAAGGUGUGUUACUGACUGGUCUGCUCUUCUUCGCAAAGACUGCGUGUGCUCUUUGUUGAGUGUGCGUAGGAUUUACGACGUUUACUUUGAAAAAAUUAGAGUGUUCAAAGCAGGCUUAGGCCGUUGGAUACAUUAGCAUGGAAUAAUGAGAUAGGGCCACGGCGGUCUAUUUUGUUGGUUUGCACGUUGUGGUAAUGAUUAACAGGAACGGUUGGGGGUAUUCGUAUUCAAUUGUCAGAGGUGAAAUUCUUGGAUUUGUGGAAGACGAACUACUGCGAAAGCAUUUACCAAGGAUGUUUUCAUUAAUCAAGAACGAAAGU
rnacentral:rRNA from 1 species